CACGUAGGGACCGAGCGUUGCCCGGAUUUAUUGGGCGUAAAGAGCUCGUAGGCGGUUCAGCAAGUCGGGUGUGAAAACUCUGGGCUCAACCCAGAGACGCCACCCGAUACUGCUGUGACUAGAGUCCGGUAGGGGAGUGGGGAAUUCCUGGUGUAGCGGUGAAAUGCGCAGAUAUCAGGAGGAACACCGGUGGCGAAGGCGCCACUCUGGGCCGGCACUGACGCUGAGGAGCGAAAGCGUGGGUAGCAAACAGG
rnacentral:rRNA from 1 species